CAUCAGAGCUCUAUAAGGCAUGUUGAUAUUGAUUGCUUCUUUGUCUCAGGGGCUAUAAGAAAUAUAACAGAUCUCAAAGGAAAAACAGUGGCUCUGUCAGCAACCAUGACACAGGAAGGUCACUUUUCAUCCUGGUGCUAACAUCCAGCUGGAGUGGCAGUAUUAGCAAAAUAAAAUCCUGAAAGGAGAAGCAGAGAUCAUGCUGACCCAGAAAGUGGAGAUCUGAUUGCUGAGAUUAAAGGCUUGAGCCACCAUGAUUAUCUGUAAUAAAGUGAGGUGUUAGAGCCUGUGGCCUAGUGAAGUGAACAUCGGGGCUGGAAGCAAGGUCAGAGUCAAAGUCUUUUUGAUAAAGAACCAGGAAUACAUACCAGCACAUCUGGGCUGACUAUCCUUCUUCCCAAGGGAUGGAUCAAUCUCAGAGAAGAUGGUCCUUCCUCUUGAUCUACCGGGUACUCUCUAGAUCAGUAGAGCCUCCUUACAAGUCACCACAUGUAAAUUGGAUUUACAUCCCUAUCAUCUAGAGAAUAGCAAGCACAGAGAACAGCAAAGACAAAAAAGAAAGGACAAAGAACUCAGAGGGUGACACAUUAAUCACUUUGGGUCAUUUUUUCCUGUUUUACCUUGACUCUGACUUCUAACAAAAAGAGAACAUCAAGAAGAAGAAAAUGAAAGAAACAAACGUCUUUGGAGCCCUGGUGUUGUCAUCGAGUCAAAUUUUUAAAAGACAGAGAGGAGUUGUGAAAAUCAGCUUGCUCAGCGGAAGUCUGCAGUGUUAUAUAAUCAGUACCAUUCUGCUUUAUCUUACAGAAAGUUAAACAUGGCCUGUGGUCACACAGUUACUGAAGAAUUGAACUGUAACCUACAAUUCUUAUUCUCUCUCUCUCUCUCUCUCUCUCUCUCUCAUGAAUAAAAUUUGAAAUUAAACUACA